GUGAAAUUCUCUGGCGAAAACAUCAUUUUCUGGACAAUACAAACAAAGACAAGUCAUUUCAGCGGAAAGUUCAGUACCGUGUUUAUCAUUUGCGGUUAUCAGGUACCACAGACGUAAAAUUUUCCACUUAGACAUCUUCGAUAGGUUACAAGCUGGGCACACAAGAAAUUAGAAAAUGCUUCUUUCACUGAAUUUGCUCAACUUUCAAGAUCACGUUUCUAGCCAGCAGAAAGACUGCACUCUGUCUGUUGAAGCACUCCCAAGUCAUGGUUACAAGCUUCCUUUGCUUCUAUUUUAACUUACACUGUCCUUUUCCUUUUCAUCCAAAGAAUGACAGUAUACGAUAAUUUUAAAAAAACUAUUUUAUUAAGGUUUUUAGGACACUUCAGGAAUAUAAUGUGUAUAUUUCAACAGGAAGUUUUUUAACGUGAAAAUCUUAAACAUCGGAUAUAUUUCCAUCUCCUAACAUCCGGCAUUCAAGAACAAGCAGUCACUCAUUUAUAGUGUCUCUAAAGGACUGUUACAGAGACAGUAUGUAUAACUACAUAGGCUAAAAUUUCGGCCAAUCCCGUUAUAUUGAAGCACUGCAUACGUGAAUGAUACAUAAACCUCCAUCUUCAACAAGUUAAAUGUAAGAACCAUAAGUUGCCUUAAAAUGUACGAGUAGAAUAAUCUGAUAGCAAAAAAAAAAAAAAAAAAAAAAAAAAAAAAAAAAAAAAAAAAAAAAAAAAAA